rnacentral:rRNA from 1 species
AUUGAACGCUGGCGGCAUGCCUUACACAUGCAAGUCGAACGGUAACAGGUCUUCGGAUGCUGACGAGUGGCGAACGGGUGAGUAAUACAUCGGAACGUGCCCGAUCGUGGGGGAUAACGAGGCGAAAGCUUUGCUAAUACCGCAUACGAUCUACGGAUGAAAGCGGGGGAUCUUCGGACCUCGCGCGGACGGAGCGGCCGAUGGCAGAUUAGGUAGUUGGUGGGAUAAAAGCUUACCAAGCCGACGAUCUGUAGCUGGUCUGAGAGGAUGAUCAGCCACACUGGGACUGAGACACGGCCCAGACUCCUACGGGAGGCAGCAGUGGGGAAUUUUGGACAAUAGGCGAAAGCCUGAUCCAGCCAUGCCGCGUGCAGGAUGAAGGCCUUCGGGUUGUAAACUGCUUUUGUACGGAACGAAAAGCCUCUUUCUAAUAAAGAGGGGUCAUGACGGUACCGUAAGAAUAAGCACCGGCUAACUACGU